GAAAUGCGAUAAGUAAUGUGAAUUGCAGAAUUCAGUGAAUCAUCGAAUCUUUGAACGCACAUUGCGCCCGCCAGUAUUUUGGCGGGCAUGCCUGUCCGAGCGUCAUUUCAACCAUCAAGCCCCCGGGCUUGUGUUGGGGACCUGCGGCUGCCCGCAGGCCCUGAAAACCAGUGGCGGGCUCGCUGUCACACCGAGCGUAGUAGCAAUCACCUCGCUCAGGGCGUGCUGCGGGUUCCGGCCGUUAAACAGCCUUACAAAACCCAAGGUUGACCUCGGAUCAGGUAGGAAGGCCCGCUGAACUUAAGC
rnacentral:misc_RNA from 1 species